GAUGAACGCUGGCGGCGUGCCUAAUACAUGCAAGUCGAGCGAACGGACGAGAAGCUUGCUUCUCUGAUGUUAGCGGCGGACGGGUGAGUAACACGUGGAUAACCUACCUAUAAGACUGGGAUAACUUCGGGAAACCGGAGCUAAUACCGGAUAAUAUUUUGAACCGCAUGGUUCAAAAGUGAAAGACGGUCUUGCUGUCACUUAUAGCUGGAUCCGCGCUGCAUUAGCUAGUUGGGAAGGUAACGGCUUACCAAGGCAACGAUGCAUAGCCGACGGGAGAGAGGGGUCGGCCACAUUGGAGGGGAGACAGGGUCAUGACGCCUGCGGGACGCAGCAGUAGGGAAUCUUCCGCAGUAGGCGAGAGCCUGACGGAGUAACGCCGCGUGAGUGACGAAGGUCUUCGGAUCGUAAAACUCUGUUAUUAGGGAAGAACAUAUGUGUAAGUAACUGUGCACAUCGUGACGGUACCUAAUCAGAAAGCCACGGCUAACUACGUG
rnacentral:rRNA from 1 species